CCAUGGAUUUAUAUAGAGGUAAUAUGAUAUUUUCUGUCUUAUUAUCUAUCCCUUUCUUAAUGAUUCCCAACAUUCUUGAUUCUUUUAUUAGAAAUUCAGAGCUUGUUUACCCUGAAAGAUUCUGUGGACCACCGGAGAACUGUUAGGAUUAUGACAGCGCAGAACGAAGGUGUGAAAUCAGAUUAAUUGAGAGAGGAGGUAAUUUUUAGUCAGGCUCUUUAGAGUUCUUGGGGUUUGAUUGCUUCUUGUAAACUCCUGUUUAAUGCAGUUGCCCAAACAACUCUUGAAACAAAUAUCUUUGCUAAAGAAUCAACACUUUGCUCCCUUUGGCCAAUGGAGCUUUUAAUCCACAUCUCUGAGACUACCCCUACUCCCCUCCCAAGUUCUAUGACAAAGGGAAGAAUAGGCCUGACAGUCCUUAUAUUGCUAAGGUGAAAAGUGUGGUGGGGGGAACCCUUAAAGAUGUCUCUCAUUCCUUCAUAUGUGAUAAAGUAACAAUACAUAAAUAAUGUAAAUAAAAUAGGGGGCAUAACCCCCUUUUUUCUCCCCUUUUGCAGAUCAUUGCUAAAGGGGAUAAACUGAAUCAUACAAAUGUAUGGCCAGAUUUUGAGCUGGUGUAAAUCAGUAUCGUUAUGGCAACUGAAAUGGAGCUACACCAAUUUACAGCAGCUGAGGAUCUCUACCAUAAUUUUUGUUUAAAAGUUUUUCUUCCGGUGUUACAAGAUUUUCCUACAACUCUCAGAAACAUCUGAAGAUGUGAUGUCAAAACAGUGGUGUCCCACCCUUGUCUGGAGCCACUAACUACAAAGGACUCUAGAAUUAGACAGAAACAAUUCUCUGCUCUGGUAGCUGUUUGUGUAAACCUUGCUUAUCUCUACGAUCUGGCCAGCAAUGUUAAAUUACACUCUGUGUAAUGUAUAGUUAGGCGCAGACAAUUAAAUACCAAUGAAAAUGGUAUCCCAGCCAACAGGGCAGAAGAGAAGCAGUCAUAAUCCACUUGGCAGCUGGGGGAGACAGGCAGAAAAUAUUAACCUUCCUCUUAUGCCUUUUCUCUAACCUCCAUUUUAUCUCUGUCUGUCUGUCUUGUCUUGCCGGCAUUGUCUGCACAGCAAAACUUAAACCCCUACCUAGCACGACUGCCAGUAAUUGAUUUGGCUGAAUUACUACUGAGCAUGCUAAAGAUGCAAGUAGAGACAAAGAAACUGUGUUCAGCUAUUGUGCUGAAGCCCAAAUUCUAAGCAUGGUCCUUCCUCAUCCUCACUCGAAGUCUGACUGCACUCAGGACCAGUUUAUGUAAACCAGUGGCUGACAACACGUUCAGUGGCCCCUUAAUAUUACAGUCCAGACAAGUCUUCUAGCUUUCAUUGAUUGGUUUCUAGCAUGAAAAGCCCACUGGGCUCCUCAUCCCAUCCCAGUAAGGAAGUGUCUUGACUGCCGAGGAAUGAUAAAACUACGUCUAAAGGGCCCUAUCCAGUGUCCGCUAAAGUUAGUGGGAUUGUUUUCAGUGAGAUUGGAUCAGAGCAAGAGCACAAGGAGAGUUGGUCUCCUACUGAAGUCAAUGGAAAGGUUCUGUAAGGUACUUCCUAUCAGUGAUCAGAGUUCACACACGAGGUCUGAUUGCCAGGAGAUCCAAUCCAAGGGGACGAGGCAGCGAGGCAGCUGGUAGGGUCAGGUGAGGCAGCAACACAGGGUCAGGAGCAGUGACAAGGCAGGGUCAGGUGGGUCUGAGUAGCAACUAGUGGGAAAUUGCUCAGACAAGUCCAGAAAGGAAGAAGGAAGUUUAUAUAUAACCACUAGCCAAUCAGGGUCAAGACUAUGUGGCCAACCAGGAGGCGGGUUGUAGAGCCCUGGACGCUGACCUAGCCAAGGAAUUUGCUGGUAAUCCGAUGUGUCGGGUGUCCCAACGGCCACUGUUGCUUCCCAAAAAUCCAGUGGGCCUGGGUUUGAGACCAGGGUCCUGACAGGUUUCCAUUGAUUUCAACAGAUGCUGGCCCUUAAGCCUUAGUUGAUUUUCAUUGGGAGUGGGGUGCCAAACUCACUUAGGCCCUUUGGAAAAUCCUAGACCUAAAGCCAUUUCCUGCAUGAGAGUUCUGUACGUUAUUAGUUCUAUUGUUCCAGACCGAGAUACUCUGUGGGCAUCAGGAAUUUAGUUGCCUUGUAAACUAACCAUGAAUUGAGACCAUCCGUAAUCUUUCGCCUCCUGUUGGAGCCAGGGUUUAUCAUUAGGCUGAACUUUCACGCAAGAAAGGGAUGUGAAGGCAGGCGUGUCCAGUAUUCCCACAAAUAUAAUUCCAUAUGCAUGCAAUGCUGUCUCCUAUUCACCAAGCCCCAACCUAUGUCACAUUCAAGUCCCUCCUUAAGAUUCACUUCACUUCUCCCACAAUACCCAUAAGAAGAGAACUGUGUCAAAUAUUUUAAGACAUCAAAACCCUCCUGUGAGUUGUUUCUUCUUCUCGGCUUCCCAGUAAAUCCCAUUUUCUCCAUAUGGUAGGAAGUAACCCAGGGAAGCGAACUUGGACUUGCUGCAUGGAGGACCCAGCCAGUAUUGCUUCCCACAAGUCCCUGGGCUGAAACUCGGUGGAGAGGGAGGCCAUGGGUCCCCCACCUCACCUCUUAAGGACUGAGGCCCAGAUGCUGGUGGAAAACCGAAGAUUCCUGGCUUAAGGUCAGGAACAGGCACCACUACCAUCCUGAGAGAGGGGCACAUGGCCAGAAGUCGGGUGUGCUAACCACUAGGCUACUCGGCCUUCUAAGCCCCCUAUCAUAAUGAGCUUGACUAGAAAGUGUGCUCUAGUGGCUGAAGCAAGGACAAGGCAACAGAAUUCUUAAGUUUUAUUCCUGUCUCUGCCACUGAUUUUCUGUCUGGUCUUGGCCAAGUCACUUCUCUGCAUCUCAGUUCACCAAUUUGUAAAACAGAGGGAACCAUUUGGAUCCAUCUUUACCAUAGGUCUUGGGAGGUUUAAUGCAUUAGUGUUUAUGAAGUACUUUGCAAGUCUUGAAUGGAAGUGCCCAAGAUAUGCAUAGGAAGUUACAUGUGCUAUCAAAUAGUGAAUAAUUCUUAGCAAAUAAUGUAUUCCAGUUCUUUCUGUUUACAAAUUGUCCAUAAACAGCUGCUGAUUUUCUCAUAUUGAUGUGUUGUUGCCAGUUAAUGUGAGUGACUAGCCUUUGGCCCAGAGCGUGUUUCAUGAGCAAAUUGUAGUUAGUGUCCAACGUUUGAAUUAUAAGCCAUGGUGGUUGAGCAUGACCUAUGAGCUCCUUAGUGCUCAGACUCCAGUUCACAUAUUCAAAAUUAAUUUUCUAUGGAUAGUUACUUAAAAUUCACCACCUCCAUGUACAUUUCAUGCCUGCAAACUCAUUCACUAGGAGAGUUACAGAAAGUGAAUGCAAAAAAAGGGGCACAAAUGUAUCCAGAGUGAAUUCUGCUUUUUAUUCCCAAUAUGCAUGGAAAACAGUUUUCAGGUACUUGUCGAGUUCUGCUACCAAGUUCUCAUACAAAACAUCCAGCCCACUUCAGAACAUCUCCCACAGAACCAACUCUGCAUCUUCUGGAGAGGCCCCUACACCCACGGUAUAUCCCAUGAGGAGACGUCUAGCUCCCAGUCUGUGGUCACUUUAUGCCAGCGAAACUGAUGCAAAGUGGCCACACCACUGGAUGUUGUACCUCCAUCCGUCACGUGAGGAUAAUAUAUGCCUGAUCCAUUGGAUGCUGUGAGACUCAGUGCACUAUAAAGUGUUUUGAGAUCCUUGGAAGAAAAGGUGCUAUAAGUCACUGAAACGUAUUUUAUUUAUAUUUCAAUAAUAAUGUGAGCUCUUUACUAAUAACAUAAUAUGAGCAAAAAGAAAAGGAGUACUUGUGGCACCUUAGAGACUAACCAAUUUAAUUGAGCAUGAGCUUUCGUGAGCUACAGCAUGUUUCAUGCACUAUGGUGGCCUCUGUAGAGACAUCAACCCUGCUAUGAAGGUCCAGAUCUAUAGAACCAUGGUUACACAUCAAUGCUAUCAUACAGCAGUGAAACGUGGGCAUGGAGGAAGGUCAAGAACACCAGAUUGUUUUUGUUGUCUUCCUCAGCUGCUUCAUAUUAAAUGGCAGGACAAGAUCAGAAAUGAGGAUUUUUGUAGCUAAACCCACCUACCACCUCCAUCAGCACUCGCUUGGUUUCAGUGGCUUUCUUUGUACAGGCAUAUUACUAGGAUAAAAGACCAACGAAUUCUGAAGCAUGUCUGACGAGGAAUGCUGCUCCAUGGCCGAUGAGCAUGGAUUUGUUCACCAAAAGCUUUGAUGGCGCAAUAAGAUUCCCAAUGAUGGACAUUAAAUGGUCUGGCUGGAUUUUCAGUUUUAAGGACCUACCUAGAGAUCGACCUGCAUGGCAUUUGAUCUGCCAGGAGGCUAUGUCCCUUUGGGAUUUGCCAUGAUGCCAGAUUACUCCAUAAUCUGAAGUAACCAGACAUGAGCAAAAUAGUAUCCAAACCCUGCUAAACUUUGAGGGUUCUGAUUAAAUGUACCUCGGAUCUGAACUGUCCCUUGUUUCACCCGUCUCUACAAAUAACUUCAGCUUGGGUAUCAUAGAAUCCUAGAAUAUCAGGGUUGGAAGGGACCUCAGGAGGUCAUCUAGUCCAACCCCCUGCUCAAAGCAGGACCAAUCCCCAACUAAAUCAUCCAAAUUAGAUGGUAGAUGGGUGCACAUUUAAAUAUCACGGACCUGAUCCUGCUAUUACUGAAGCUUUGUUUCUUUGCUGUUCCCCAGCAGGUGCUGCUAAAUACUUUAUCUCCUUUGGGUCUGAAGAUGCUACUUGUGUAAUGAGAGGAGAUCCAAUUACAGGGUUAUCCAAUUUACCUUCCCAAAAGCUUGCAGGGUCAAACCCAGGCCCUGGCUCAGAACAUUGCGGAGAAGUGUAGACUCAGAUCUGAACCACACAGCUGGCAAAUGAGCAGCACACGCAGAACUCUCCGCUUCAGGGCCUCCACAAGAAACACUUGUUAAAUUGGAGCAGGGUUUUCCGAGGCCAGGUAGGUAAGCACGUAUUCCUUUAUCUUCCGAACACCGCUCUGAGCCUGGAGUUAGGUCAGUUUUGGGGGCAGAGUUCAGUUCCUGUUCCAUAAAGAAACAGAAGCUUCCAGACUUACGGCCUGCCAAGCACAGAGCAUUUGUGUAUGACAUGAAUUAGUCUCUUCCUUGUCCUUCAUAACUAGUAACUGUGGAACAUUGGGCUGUGAGGUCUAUGGCCAGUAUAUUAUCAGGCUUCCCCUAAUGUUAACUUCCAGACCUUGAUUGUGAUGGCUUAUUUAGCCAUAUUAUCAUUAUUAUUUGAAUUCCCAGAGCAUCUAGAGGCUUCCGGUCAGGAUCAGGGCCCCACUAUGUUGGAUGACAUUGAACAAAUAACAGUCCCUACCCCAGACAGUUCUCAGUCUCAGAACUCACUGCCGCCGCCUUCAUCUUGAAAUCUCAAAGGCCUCUGUUGUCUGGAGAGACAGAGGCCAUUUUGUGUUUAAAAUUGGUGUGUGUUUCACUGCUUUCCCACUUGCACCUGACGUGUAAUGUGCCUCACCAUUUAGGUCCUUGCUGAGUUGGACCGUCUCCUGUGCUGUCCAGCUGUUGCUCGCGAAAUAAGGAGGAGCUACAUUUCAAAAUUCACUUAAAAGCAAUAUCAAAAAACCCGGAAAGGCUUUGAUCUUUCUAAAUAUUCCCUUUGUUCUGUCAUUCGGCAAUUCCUGUGUGCUUCAAAGGUAAGGUAACAAUCCACUCUCUGUACUCUUCCCUGAACUGUGGUCAUAAACUCACCCCUGACAUACAGUUUAAAUAACCCAGAGCCCUACAACCUUCAAAUCAAGUAAUGAAGAUCUUUCCACUGUUCAUUUUGUUAGAUUAAUAAAAGGCUACAAUUUU